GGUCUCACUGUCUCCUCUCUCUAAUCAAUGAAACUGAUCUCUCCGUGAAGAAGCGGAGAUUUAACUAUAAGACGAGAAGACCCCAUGGAGCUUUAAACCUGACUACACCCCUAUCUAUUAUACCCUUAAAUCAACAGGGCCUUUGUCUGUCGGUUUUAGGUUGGGGUGACCGCGGAGCAUAAAUUAACCUCCAAGAUGAACUGGACUAACCCAUUAUCUAAGAUUUACACCUCAAAGAAUCAGCACACUGACAUAAAAUGAUCCGACAUUCGAUCAACGAACCAAGUUACCCUGGGGAUAACAGCGCAAUCUACUUCAAGAGCCCCUAUCGACAAGCAGG
rnacentral:rRNA from 1 species